AUUGAACGCUGGCGGCAGGCCUAACACAUGCAAGUCGAGCGGAUGAAGGGAGCUUGCUCCUGGAUUCAGCGGCGGACGGGUGUGUAAUUCCUAGGAAUCUGCCUGGUAGUGGGGGAUAACGUCCGGAAACGGGCGCUAAUACCGCAUACGUCCUGAGGGAGAAAGUGGGGGAUCUUCGUACCUCACGCUAUCAGAUGAGCCUAGGUCGGAUUAGCUAGUUGGUGGGGUAAAGGCCUACCAAGGCGACGAUCCGUAACUGGUCUGAGAGGAUGAUCAGUCACACUGGAACUGAGACACGGUCCAGACUACUACGGGAGGCAGCAGUGGGGAAUAUUGGACAAUGGGCGAAAGCCUGAUCCAGCCAUGCCGCGUGUGUGAAGAAGGUCUUCGGAUUGGAAAGCACUUUAAGUUGGGAGGAAGGGCAGUAAGUUAAUACCUUGCUGUUUUGACGUUACCAACAGAAUAAGCACCGGCUAACUUCGUG
rnacentral:rRNA from 1 species